GAUGAACGCUGGCGGCGUGCCUAAUACAUGCAAGUCGAGCGAACAGACGAGGAGCUUGCUCCUCUGACGUUAGCGGCGGACGGGUGAGUAACACGUGGAUAACCUACCUAUAAGACUGGGAUAACUUCGGGAAACCGGAGCUAAUACCGGAUAAUAUAUUGAACCGCAUGGUUCAAUAGUGAAAGACGGUUUUGCUGUCACUUAUAGAUGGAUCCGCGCCGCAUUAGCUAGUUGGUAAGGUAACGGCUUACCAAGGCAACAAUGCGUAGCCGACCUGAGAGGGUGAUCGGCCACACUGGAACUGAGACACGGUCCAGACUCCUACGGGAGGCAGCAGUAGGGAAUCUUCCGCAAUGGGCGAAAGCCUGACGGAGCAACGCCGCGUGAGUGAUGAAGGUCUUCGGAUCGUAAAACUCUGUUAUUAGGGAAGAACAAAUGUGUAAGUAACUAUGCACGUCUUGACGGUACCUAAUCAGAAAGCCACGGCUAACUACGU
rnacentral:rRNA from 1 species